CAUUCGGAGUUGAGCCUAGGAUAGGAGGGGAAAAUCUAUUAAAAAAAAAAAAAAUCAGGAGCAUCUCUCAGAGAAACCCUUUUCAACAAAAUCAAGGACCAGAGAACCUCAGACCGACCCUAACGUUCCUGCUGUGAGGCCCGCGGGCUAUGGAAUCACGCACGUCACCUGGCCCCAGCAGGGCGGCCAGCUGAGGGGGUUCUUUUUAUUUUAUUUUCCUUUAUUUUUUGAAGUUAAGGCUGAAUCUCGGCUUCAGUGCUUUUGCCAACGUCUCCACUGACAGGAACCAGCAAACUUCAGGACUCAAAUGAGCGUCUUAAUUUAUUGAUGCAAAACAGGUCUGAUUGUCGCCCCCAAUUCUCGGCGCGCUCGGUCCCCCACGCCCCCAGCUUCGGUCCCUCCAUUUGAUCUCAGGGUCAAAAGUGGAUCAUUGAGGCAGUUGACAAAUAAUUAAGACGUGGUACUUAAGGAAAGAAAUCAUAAGGAGGAAAUGGACCGGACUAGUACAAGUAUGAUUUGCUUAUGCCGCCAAGUGUGAAGUUGCACUUGAGAGUAAAUGAUCUCCUCACCUGCUAACACCACACAAGAGCUGAAGAAGGAAAACAAAGAAGGAGAAUCAGAGAAGACUAUCGGGAGAAAUUCAGAACAUCUUCACCUGGAUUUUCAUGGGUACUCGUCAUCUCUUUCCUGGAACGCUGUGCCCACCUCCCGACUGGCUUUCCUGUUUCCAGUCUUUCCUCCCUCGUAUCUAUUCUCCAUCACCGGUAUGAGUCAUUGAUCUACAACAACAUCUAUCUGACUGUGUCACCACUGUCAGCAGUUCCCAAUGACAUGACUGUGGUAUUCCUCAAACUCAGCGAACCUCAAAGAUGGACCCCUGAGGAUUCAAGGAGCUAAUACUUAUUGACUGCGUACUGUUUGCCAGACUCUGACUCCAUGCUUUACCUAUCUUGUUUCAUUAAACCCCGAAAGCAUCUUGUGAGGUGAGCAUUAUGUUUAUUACCAUUUUACAGGAAACGGAUGCUUAAGAAAGAUCACAAGCUUGCCUGCACACGUGCCCAGUGAACGGCAGGGUCACUCUGAAGCCUGCUUUCCAGGCCUCUGAUGGUGGCAACUCUUCCAUAUCCAUAGUGAUCGUAUGUCUUCUUGUUUUCUGGCCCCCUUUCCCAUGUCCUGGCUCCCACUUGUCCUCUCAGUGCUGCAGAAGACACUAGCUCCAUUCUCUGUCUUGGGCUUUGGAUGAGUGGUUCCAUUCUUACCCUCUGUGCCUGCCAUACUCUUAGUUUUGUGAAGUUUUUGUUUUCAGCUCUAGCAUUGGAGUGGUCACCAACGUCACUAUCUCUACUGGAUCUAGCAGAAGUCUGGCCAAACUCCUAGGACAUUGUGUGUAUGUGUGUGUGUUUUCAUAUUUUUAUUUUUAGUUUCCUUCUCUUUCUUUUUAAAAACAGAUUGAGAUAUAAUACACAUACCUUAUAAUUGAUCCAUUUAAGCCUACAAUUCAGCAGUUUUAGUAUAGUCACAGAUACAUACAACCAUCACCAGCGUCAGUUUUAGAAUAUUUUUGUCUCCACAAAGAGAAACACUAUACCCUUUAGGUCUUACUCCCUCCCUUGAUUUCUCCAUCUCCCUCAGCCCUAAUCGACCACUAAUCUACUUUCUGUCUCUGGGGAUUUGCUUAUUCCGGACAUUUUAUGUAAAUGGAAUCACAUAAUACAUGGUCUUGUGUAACUGGCUUCUUGCGCUUAACAUAAUGUUUCAAAGAUCCUACAUACUGUAACAUGUAUCAAUGCUUCAUUCCUUACUCUGACUGAAUAGUACUCCAUUGUGUAUAUCACCUUGUAUUUUUCCGCUUGGGUUGUUUCCACGUUUUGGUAAUUGUGAAUAGUGCUGCUGUGAACUUUCAUGUACCAGUGUCUGUUUGAAAAUCUCCUUUCAAUUCUUUGGGGGUAUAUACCUAGGGAUGAAAUUGCUGGGUCUCGAGUCUAUGUUGCACUGUAAACAUUAUUUUAUUUUAUUUUAAUUUUUUUAAGUGUACUUAUUUAUUUUGAGAGAGAGUGAGAGGGGGAGGGGCAUGUAGAGAGAGAGGGAGAGAGAGAACCCCAAGCAGACUCCACACUAUCAGCGCAGAGCCUGAUGCGGGGCUUGGACCCACAAACCGCAAGAUCACUACCUGAGCCAAAACCAAGAGUUGGAUGCUUAACUGACUGAACCACCUGAGCACCCCUGUUUUUUUUUUUAAUUAGAGAGAGAGAGAGAGAACAUGAAUGGGGGAGAGGGGCUGAGAGAAAGAAUCCCAAGCAGGCUCCCCAAGGAGCCUGAUGCAAGGCUCAAUUCCAUGACCCUGGGACCACAAUCCAAGCUGAAAUCAAGAGUCUGAUGCUCAACUGACUGAGCUACCCAGACGCCCCUAUGUUACACUUUUUGAGGAACCACUAAACUGUUUUCCACAGUAGCUGUGGAAUUUUAUAUUCUUGUGAGCAAUGUAUAAUGGUUCCAAUUUCUCCACAAACUUGCUUUUUUAUGUUGUUUUUCUUGUUUUUGUCAGUGGUGGUGUUUUUUGUUUGUUUGUUUGUUUUUUUGUUUGUUUUUUUGAUUGUAGCCAUUCUAGUGGGUGUUAAGUGGCCUACUAUUUAAGAUCUUUUAGAGACUUUUCAAGAAAACUUUAUUCUUUUGUGUUCUCAAGAUUGGUUUAUAACUCCCUUAUUUGUCAUCAUAUCCUAUAAUCUCUCUCUUUCUUUCUCUGCCUCUUUAUCCGUUUCUUGAAACCAGAAUGGACAGUCUUGUUCCUUUUGUAUUUUUCCUGGGCUCAGAACAUGCUUGUGCUGGAGUGAAUAAAGGCAUGGGGUGACUUGUGAGGACAAGGAGUGCUGGGAAUCAGCAUUUCUGUGUAAUCCCUUCCAUUGUGCCAGACACUGUUGUAGCACCAACAUGUCUUAUCUUAUUCAAUUUUCACAAGAAUAGUAAGAACAAGGUGUUCAUUUCGCAGAAGAAGAAACAGACCAGAGACCAUCUCUUGUCACCCACCUGAGCAGAGCUUGACUUCAGACCCAACCCUCUCUGAAUCCAGGACCUGUGUUAAUUUCAUGACAAUGUGCCACAAGAGAAAAAAAAAAAAAGACAUGAGAAGGACCAUUACUACUCUUUUUCUUGUUACUGGGACUACCUCCACGUAUUGGAUGCCUCCUGGUGCCAUACACCAUGACAGCUAAAUUUUGGAUACCAUCAAAUCUAAUCACUUUAAGAAUCUAGUGAUUCAGAUGUUAUUAUUAUUUCAGAGAAUGAAACAGUCACUGAGAAGUUAAGUAACUGCCCAAGAACAAACAGCAAGUAAACCAUGAGCUCAAAACUGGGUUGGCUUCAUUGCAAAGUGUGGGUACUUCUGUCAAUGUAGGAAAACGCAUUUAAGAUCUGGAAGUUUCGCCUGGAAACCUGAGAGUUGUGAGAUAAGUCAGGAAAUCAGGCAACCAGACUGCUCAAUAAUUUUUCCAGAUAAUUUUUCCAAGUACUUUUGUUUUCUUAUUUGCUUCCAGUCAUGAUUUUGGUGGUGUAGAUAUUCCACUAAAUCUACGUAUUAUGAAAAAGUACUCCGUGAUCCUAAAAAAGAAUGUUCUGCUUAUUGGCUUAUUCCCCAUUAUGUUUUAAAGCAUCUUACCUAUAUAAUACAUGUAAAAUAUACUACAUCUGAUCAAACCAUUUUUUUUUUUAGAUUAUAGUAGUAAUUUGGCUAUUCUUGCUUUUAACAAUUUGAGCAUUCAUUCAAUAUUUAUUCCACAUAGCCAUUUUUUCUUUUACUGUGUAAAUCCUACCUGGAGAUCUAUGAAAUACUGGUAAGAGUCUAUGGUAAAGAUAAAUAAGGAAUAUUAUAACUAGCAUAGAAGAUUUUAAAACUAUACUCUGAUUUUAUACUAAUUUGUAGUCUCUGAUUUAAGAGGCUCUAUCCUAGAUCACUACUAAGCUAUUAAAUGUCGGGAAACCUCUGCAUGGCAGUAUUUUGGGGCCAGGUGUAAGUGGAAAAGAAGAGGCCUCAGAUGACUUUAAAUAAUUUUAAUCAAUAUGUUUUCUCAUUCCCGGUAUCCUAUUUUGAUGUUUCACUCAUUCUUCUUGUACCAUGCUCUUCAUUGCUCUUCAUACCUUUGUCAAGGAUUUUUUUUUUUAAACAGAGACCUAGGUUACCAUUUGGCAUAUGUCUCCCUUGUCAGUGACAUCUUGAAAAUUAAAAAAAAAUAAUACCUCCCUCACAUGCAUCCAUUCAGGUUGGCUGCCUGUAACUGACUGCGCCAUGCUUCAAAAUGUGUCACCUUAUUAAAUUCUGCAAAUUGUUCUGAACAUUGUCUCUAUAAAUGUUUUGGAAGGGCUUUACUGUCAGGUCAGCUUUCUAAGGGCUAGAAAUAUGUCAAACCUGGCAGCCUUACCUUUAUUUAAGAGCCAAAAUACAAAUAAGUAGAUUACAAAGCAAUCAAUCAAUACGGCAUUGCAGGAUGUUAUGGUUGGCAUUGACCUCGGAGUUCGGCACCCUCAUUUUACAGAUGAAUAAAUUCAUCCAUAAGCUCUGCAGGAGAUGGGGUUCGGCCUUGAUUCAGUUACAACUAGCUAACCUUGGACAUGCUGCUGUGCCUCAGUUUCCUCAUGUGACAGGGAGGAGCUUUCCUUUUGUUAGGUAAUCCCUCAGGCAUUUUCCUACUUCCAGUUUCUGUGUGUCACGACAAAAUGGAUUGUAUUGAUGCAUUUCUAGUCCUUAAAAAAGUUUCUUAACUCACACAGAAUAACUCUUCUAAUCUUUUAUGGGGCCUCCUUAUAUAUUCUCUAAAAGUUGGACACAUGAGCAAUUUAUAGUUAUUGGGAAAAUCGUAACUUUUAUUCACUGUCAAAAGAAUAAACAGACGAAGAUCUUUUCCCUGUUCUGAGCAUUUCUUCACUUUUUUCCCUCCCUGGUUUGUUGUUGUAGGGUUGCUUGGGGAUAUUAGGUUACUGACCUUUGUUUUUCUUUCUACAAGAAGCUUUCACUAAAGUAUUUUUUGGGGGGGGUGUCGUAUAAGAAACAAUGACUCUCACAUGCAAGUAAUUAAAUGGAUGUAAGGCAAGAAAAAAGUGGCACAAAUUUGAAUUGAUGAAUUUUCUUUCUGGAAACUCAUGGAGCCUAGUCUGAAAGCUGUGUGCAAGCAUGCAUGGGCUUUCUGAGAAUAUUUCCUCUCUUCUGAUAUACUGAAGUCUCUGGGUGAGUUUAGUUCCCCUGCAAGGGCUGGGCAGGAAAGUUUGGCAAACAAUCUAAUCUGAUAUGAUGCAUGCUUUUCUACUCAACUGUAAAAAUCUAUUUCAUUCAGAUAUCACCUGCUAUUCUUAUGGCAAGUCUUUGGAAUAGAGAUCCUAAAUGUGUCAAAAAUAUGUAACGCAUUUAUGAUAGAAAUAAAUAGAGACGAGGGUGACUUCAGCUUCCUUUCACAUGUGCUGGCCAGCACUUGCAGAAUUCAAAGUAGGUUAUGUUAGCCUUCCCACUUUCAAUGCCUUUAUGGAUGUGGUGUUUAUAUACCCUAGAUUUUCCAGGGCAGCCCUGGGUUGUAAAUAUUCUGUCCUGUUGUUCCCAUAAGUACAAUCAUACUUGUCAAGCCAUGUGUCAUGAGUUUCGGUUUGGAAAAUACGGGCUCUGUAUGUCCAUCAGAGCCUGUUGCUCUGGCCUGAUGCCUGAUGCUGCUGCUCCACUGUGCCCUACCCCUAGCCCACUUCCCGUACUCGUCAAAGGCUUGUUUCAGUUUUAGUCCACUUGCUCUCUCUGCCUCGUGUCUAGGGGACAAUGUGAACAGUAAACUAAUCUGUGCUAAUGGGCAAGCUGGGGAAAAUCAGCAGGAGAGGAUCCGCCUGGAUCCUCACAUCCCAGAAUGUUCUGUCUCCAUCCAGGUAGCUUAAGGGGCACUUUGGAAAUUGUGCCUUGACUUCGUUUAUCUCUAAGACAAAGUUGUUCUGCGGGUGGUUGGUGGGGACAGAUUACUUUUUU